rnacentral:rRNA from 1 species
CCCGCUGAACUUAAGCAUAUCAAUAAGCGGAGGAAAAGAAACUAACAAGGAUUCCCCUAGUAACGGCGAGUGAAGAGGGAAAAGCUCAAAUUUGAAAUCUGGCAGUCUACGGCUGUCCGAGUUGUAAUUUAGAGAAGCGUCUUCCGCGCUGGACCGUGCACAAGUCUCCUGGAAUGGAGCGUCAUAGAGGGUGAGAAUCCCGUCUUUGGCAUGGAAUCCCAGGGCUUCUGUGAUGCGCUCUCGACGAGUCGAGUUGUUUGGGAAUGCAGCUCAAAAUGGGUGGUGAACUCCAUCUAAAGCUAAAUAUUGGCGAGAGACCGAUAGCGAACAAGUACCGUGAGGGAAAGAUGAAAAGCACUUUGGAAAGAGAGUGAAACAGUACGUGAAAUUGUUGAAAGGGAAACGCUUGAAGUCAGUCGCGUCGACCGAGACUCAGCCUCGCCUCGGCUUGGUGUACUUCUCGGCUCGACGGGUCAGCAUCGAUUUCGAUCCUCGGAUAAUGGCAAGGGAAAGGUAGCACCUUUUUAGGUGUGUUAUAGUCCUCUGUCGCAUGCGAGGGUCGGGAUCGAGGAACUCAGCACGCACCUCAGGGUGUCGGGGCCUUGGCCCACGUUUACGUGCUUAGGAUGCUGGCGUAAUGGCUUUAAACGACCCGUCUUGAAACACGG